rnacentral:rRNA from 1 species
UACGGAGGGGACUAGCGUUGUUCGGAAUUACUGGGCGUAAAGCGCACGUAGGCGGGUCCUUAAGUCAGGGGUGAAAUCCCGAAGCUCAACUCCGGAACUGCCUUUGAUACUGGGGAUCUUGAGUCCGGAAGAGGUGAGUGGAACUCCGAGUGUAGAGGUGAAAUUCGUAGAUAUUCGGAAGAACACCAGUGGCGAAGGCGGCUCACUGGUCCGGUACUGACGCUGAGGUGCGAAAGCGUGGGGAGCAAACAGG